rnacentral:rRNA from 1 species
UACGUAGGCAGCAAGCGUUGUUCGGAUUCACUGGGCGUAAAGGGUGCGUAGGCGGUCGAGUAAGUCUGAUGUGAAAUCUCACAGCUUAACUGUGAAACUGCAUUGGAUACUAUCCGGCUCGAGGAAUGGAGGGGAGACUGGAAUUCUCGGUGUAGCAGUGAAAUGCGUAGAUAUCGAGAGGAACACCAGUGGCGAAGGCGAGUCUCUGGACGACUCCUGACACUGAGGCACGAAAGCCAGGGGAGCAAACAGG